UCCUAAAUCUGAAAGUCCAAAA
rnacentral:miRNA from 1 species